UAUUUAUUAGAUAACAGACCAAUAUUCCUCGUGUCUAUUGUGGUGACUCAUAGUAACUGAUCGGAUCGCAUGGCCUUGUGCCGCGACUAACCAUUCAAGUUUCUGACCCAUCAGCUUUCGAUGGUAGUGUAUUGGACUACCAUGGCUUUCACGGGUAACGGAGGAUUAGGGUUCGAUUCCGGAGAGGGAGCCUGAGAAACGGCUACCACAUCUAAGGAAGGCAGCAGGCGCGUAAAUUACCCAAUCCUGACUCAGGGAGGUAGUGACAAGAAAUAACGGGUCGGGGCAUUCGCCUCGGGAUUGCAAUGAAUCGAAUUUACACCCCUUAAUGAGGAUCAAUUGGAGGGCAAGUCUGGUGCCAGCAGCCGCGGUAAUUCCAGCUCCAAUAGCGUAUAUUAAAGUUGUUGCAGUUAAAAAGCUCGUAGUUUGAUUUCUGGACGGGCGCCAACACCCGCUUGUUUAGUGUGGAGGCGGCGCCCGCCCAUCCUUCUGUUAACGCCACCGGCAUUCGUUUGCUGGCGGUGGGCUCAGAUAUUUUACCUUGAGAAAAAUUAGAGUGUUUCAGGCAGGCUUGCG
rnacentral:rRNA from 1 species